rnacentral:lncRNA from 1 species
GUCUGCAUAUUUUCUUGCAGAAUGACCAAAGUUUUCAUAAACGUUUAUAUAUGUAAGUGUUAGCCAGCGUGGCUAGUUUUCUAGAGAAGUUACCAUGUUAGUUAUGUGGAAUUGAAAUCACACACUCAGACUAUGUGCACACGGUAACGUUUCCGGGCGUUUCUAAAAUGUCGUUUCCAAUUUUGUCAGUUUGACGCUCUGUCCACACGGAAACGUUUUCACGAGAUGCAAAUGUUUCUCUCGACAAAAAUUCCAUUUCUCGCGACUUCUUAUCACCGUUUACUUUCCACCAGAUGGAGUCAUUACUUGUCAACGAGUUUCUUAAAAUGUCCUCUACUCAUUAUAAUAAAGUAAACAGUUUUAUAUGUAUGUUCCGCAUCACCGAUACGAAAUCUGAAAGCAAAACACAUUUUAAAUCGUUCAUAAAUCAUUAUACACUUGAAAGGCUGUAUAUUUUGUUUUACUUGUUGUUAACGUUAAUGUUGUUGUUGUUAAAAAUUAAUGAUCCAUGAAUGAAAGUUAUAAGCUUCCAGGAAACAAAAAUAUAAUAUUUUUAAGCCGCCAUCUUG